GAGCUUCACUGGAGGUGGGUAAGUUUUGUUUCAGACCUGUAGGGCUGAAAGUGUUGACGAACACCUGGGAGAAAAUGUCCAGUCACCGUCACUGCAAAUGCGGGUCCGACCUUCAGGAGAGGGAUUUGGACUGAAGAUGUGGGUAGGAGCACCCUCUCUUAGACAAGAAAAAUUGAGACUAAGAGGAGAUGAGAUCGCUGGGGGAUCAUAAUUAAGUAAAAACUUGUAUCUCUAAAAUCCGUCCUGACAUUUUCAUUUAUAGGAUAUACAUAUGUAUGUAUCUGUUAUAAUCUGAAAUGUGUCCCUCAAAAUUCAUAUUUGAAGCCCUAACCUCCUCAUACCUCAGACUGGGACUGUAUUUGGAGAUGAGGCCUUUAAAAAGAUAAUUAAGGUAAAACGAAGGCAUUAGAAUGGGCUCUAAUCCAAUAUGUCAGGAGUCCUUAUAGGAAGAGGAGAUGAGGACACAGACACCCACAGAGGGAAGACGGUGUGAGGACACAGGGAGAGGACACCAUCUGCAAGCCCAGGAGGGAGGCCUCAGGAGAAACCAAUCCCGCCCACACCUGGAUGUGGGGCUUCCAGCCCCCAGCACUGCGAGGGAAUAAAGCUCCGUUGUGUAAGCUGCCGCAUCUGUGGUAUUUUAUUAUGGCAGCCCCAGCUACUAAUACAGUACCCCUACCGAUACAUACAUAUUUACCCACAUGUAGCCACACACAUGUGCACAUAUGUAAUCUUUUUGCCUAUAAAAAAGUAAGCAAUGCCUAAAAGUACAGGUGGAGAGAAGGCUAAAAAGCACAGGCUCGAAGAGACUGCCAAGAUACAACGAUCCAACAAAGACACAUCGUAUCAACAGUAAUGAUUUCCUAAAUGUGAAGGUAAUUUGGAUGGCUGGUUUAUAGUUUUCAUGCCCGGGAGUUUUCCAAGGCACAAUGUAUACCCUUUGCGGCAGCUUACUCUCCUGAAAUGUGCCUUCAUGAAAUUAGAUAAACAGGGAGAAGAUAUGAAGUACAUCUGCCUAACACCACGUUAGAAGAAUCCCCGGGCAUUUGCAUCUUAUGCGAUGAUAUGCUGGCAAACCUUGGCCAACUUCCAGUCUUGUCCUUAUGACAGGGGACUGCUGUGUUGAGUUCCCGUCUCAGGCCUCACAUCCACCUUGGCCCUGCCUUGGGAGCCUGUAGGUGUGGGCAGAAAAGAGGGACGCUGCCUUCCUGGCUGGGCCUUUCUUCACACACAGGCACGAGGACCCAAGCUCUAAAGGAUGAAGUCCCCAUGGUCUCCGAAGUUUUCAUUAUCAUCCCCCUCCUAAAGCUCCACCUUGGAGGCAAUGCACUGUAACAAAAGGACCAGCACAGUGCCCAGCACACAGAAAGCUAUCAAUCAAUGUCAGCCUUAACCAUUAUGUUGGUUGACUUGCCAUCCCUCUUCCUCAACUGCAAACUAUGUGAGAGAAAGAUUCAUGUAACCUUGGUAUUACACAACUCCAUCGUGGUGGGUUCAGUUGCAUUUGUCAAAUGAUUCAGAGUAGGACAACGGGAAUUUUCUUUACAACAUCACAGCAUUGUAAAGUCUUUGCUUUGCACGAAAGUGUGGGACUGAAGAAAUGAUUGUGCAGGUUGAAACUGUGAAGCAAUUUUAAGAAGCAACAAGGAAAAUUAUGAUUGUUUCAUAAUCUUCAAAAAAUUUUUAAAGUGUUAAGAACUGUUUUACUACUGGUCGUAAAUGUAUAAGAACAUUUAAAGAUAGCAAAUUGAAUACUUAUUUAGCCUGUCAUAAUUUAAAAAAUGAGAAACAUUGAGAAAUAGUGUUUUAUUUCUUUGUAAAAGACUUAUGGAGAGUAAAUUGAAAAGGGCUUUGCCACCUUCUCAUUGUGAAACUUACAGUAUGGACCAGGCAUCUUUUCUAUGCCUUGGCAAAUUGUCACAUUCCUUUCUAUAUUUGGAUAGGCUUCCUACAUUUUGUCCUGCACACUUUCAGUGCUGUGAAAUAUCUCCAAGAGUUUCUUUAAUAUGAAGUUUUUGCCAGCAUCUUUAUCCUGAGUCCCUCAAAAGACACAUCCAGAAUCUCUCAAAAGACAACAGCAUCAACUUUCCCACCAUCAGCUCUUUCUUCUCUAAACUCGUUUACGUCUGAGUCAACUUUCACCUCCUGCAUUCUCACUUUUUGUUUCUUUGCUAUACUUUCCUCUUCAUUGGCUACCUACCUCUCUUGAGUAUUCAUUUCUGUGAAAUGUCACGUGGGUUUGUCACUGGGAGCCAAGAGAGCAGCACGACCACACGCUUUGCUGUCUGUGUGGGAACUGAUAACACGGAAGGACUGAAGGACGUGAUGCGGUUAAUCACUGAUCAUGAUGCACAUCUGUUAUUACGUGGUGGUCUGUGGACUGCAGAGCAAGCAGCAGAGGUUGUCCCCCAUGCAAUCACUCACAGUUAAUGGUGACUGAAAUUGGAACCAUGUUGUUAGGGGGCUGGUGUUAUUUAACCUCAGUUGCCACAGGGCAAUGAAAAUUCGUGCGUUUGGGAACUAUGCAAGGUGAGGACUGCCUGAAUGUUCCAUAAUGUGAUGAGUGCCUCACAAACAGGGUGUAUAUUAUCACUGAGUUUUUUCAUUAUUCUUGACCUUCAAUAUAUAGACAUUCUUGUUGAUGGUAUCAGGUUGUUUCUGCGUGAAUGAGCUUUACUCCUCUGAGAAAUGGCAUUCCUGACCCUCCUCUUUGAAUCAAUUGCACAAAAGUAUCUGAAGGAAAUUUGCUUACCUGCUGCUUUCUAUGGAAGCUUUCCUGCAGCAUGACCUAGUGUCUGUUUCUGGUUGAUGAUUAACCAUGGGGAACAAGCGUUUGAGAUAAAGAAGUUGCAGAACUUUUUAGAGAAUGUAAUAUGUUAAUGUGCACUGGGACUCUCCCUGAGCUAUAUCAAGUUUCCUGGAUUCUGAAAUGCUAUAAUUUUAAAAGUGUCAUAAGGUUAAAACAGCUUUCUAAGAAGUGCCUUUGUUGGAAGAAUACCCAGGAAUGGUGCGCUGGACAGCUUUUGUACAAGUCUUGCAUUUUCUCAGAACUAUCUCUCAUCUUGGCCAUGGCAUCAGUCACAUCCUGAGUGGCUCACCUUGACUUGGGUUGCCUCCUACUGCAGUUCUCCUAAACUCUGGUGGGGGACACGGGCACAACCCACCCAAUACUCGUAUGUGCUUUACCUGGAAAUAAGGAGCAGAGGAGCUAGGGGAAGGAGCCGAUGGCUAAAUGUUCCUGCCUUUUUUCCCUCAGGCAGACAGUUCUAAGGUGCACGCUGUAGGUUGCUGGGACAACCCUGGCAAGAUCUUCCCCCAGACAUCCACCUUGGCGGCCGACUUAUUAACUCAUUGGUCUAUUGACUUUUGCUCCUUGCCUCGCCCCUGAUCCCUGUGCCCUCUUUCUAAUAAGCUACCUGCUGGUGAGGCUCUGCCUUGGGGGAAACCCAGGCUGAGGCAGGUGGGAUGUUAUAACCAGGGAGGCCUGAGUCCUGGGUCUUUGCCUGGGGUCCCCAAAUAGGAGAGGGAUUGGAGGAGGUAUUGUGGGGGAGAGUGUUGCAAAAGCCCAGAGGAAAGGAGUGCUGUUACCACAACAGAGGAGACAUGAACCUGCACAGACCAAAAACAGGAGAGAGAGAGGGAAAGAGAAAGAGAAGGGGGAGAAAGAAAGGGAGAGACAGAGGAAGGGAGAGAUGGGGAAAGAGGAGAGGAGAAAGGGAGGGAGAGAAAGAAAGGAGAUGGAGAGAGAAAAGGGUGGGGAGAGAGAUAAAGAGAGAGGUAAAGAGAGAGAGAGAAUCAUCUACUACAUGAUUUCUUUUUUUUUUUUUUCUGAGAUGGAGUUUCGCUCUUGUUGCCCAGGCUGGAGUGCAGUGGCGUGAUCUCGGCUCACUGCAACCUCCAUCUCCCGGGUUCAAGCGAUUCUCCUACCUCAGCUUCCUGAGUAGCUGGGAUUACAGGUGCCUGCCACCACGCCCAGCUAAUUUUUGUAUUUUUGGUAGAGACGGGGUUUCACCGUGUUGACCAGGCUGGUCUCGAACUCCUGACCUCAGGUGAUCCGCCCGCCUCGGCCUCCCAAAGUGCUGGGAUUACAGGUGUGAGCCACCGCGCCUGGCCAUGAUUUUUUUUUUAACCUAUAAAAGCCUUGAGUAGUGAUGGACGCGAUUCCUAGUAAUGUGGUUUACUAAAGGGUCAGGCUGUCAGUUCACCACAAAUACGCCACAGUAGUGUUUGGUAUUCUCUCAAUGUUCCACCCACCAGAGCAUACAAAACAGCCACAUUCCCCAAACACUUAAUUCUCAAAACAUACUUGUAGAGGAGGGAAGCCUAUUACUCCCAUUAGAAAGAUGGAAAACCAAGGUGAAAUGAUUAACUGAGCUACCAGGGCCUCAGAAGAAAGUCGCUGCUGAGUUUGGGAUUGUGUUUUCAACUUCCUGCCCACUGUGGGUGAGCUCCACCUUUUACUGGAACCAACUCCAAGGAGGAAGUUUUGCUGGGUUUCCUGGAAGGCAGAGGUUUGCAUCUGCAUGCCCUGCGUGGAGGCAUUGUAUUUGGGGGCAGGCAGGAGAAUACUGUAGCUGGUGUGCCCACAGAAAGGGAGGGAGAGAAGCCACUGGGAGUGAGCUGGGCUUGGGAUCGGGCUGUGUCCUCACCAACUGUCUGCCCAGGCAUGAACUUGCCACUGCUGUGGAAGAGUCUGACUGCAUCCAAGAAUGCCAAAGGUUGUGGCUGAACUCACUUCUCAACAGACUUGGAUCAUGUUCAUAUACUAUUCUUUAAAAGAUCACCAUUUGUAGUAGAAUGUCAAAAACCCAAAGAUGUUGCUCCCGAUGUUGAGCUGUAACUAUUUUCUGUGUUGGUGGAAAAAUAUGAGAGAAUUAGUUGCCAUUCAUGAAUCUCAGUGAUACACAGACAAAAGCAUGCUUCAAUUUUGUUUCUUUGUUUUUGAGUGGUUCUGAUUUAUUUUCAGCUUUUGGGUGAUGUCUGGGGCUGUUUAUUGAGGACGGGAUAAAUGGGGGGGGGACCAAAAUAUAUUUGGCAUUUAUUGGUGGUGUUUUAUAUUUGUGACUUGAUUUACUUCUUAUCACAACCCAGUGAGACACGUACUAUUAUCAUCCUUUUAAUAGAUGAGCAGCCUGGAGCUUAGAGAGGUUAGGUAGCAUGGACAUCAUCAGGCAAGUUAAAUGAGAAAGCCGCCACCCAUUCCCAGCUGGGGCUGACCCCAGCGCCUGUGUUAUUUCUGUUGCCCUGAGCCUCCCCAGGCUUCUUAACCCACAUGUACUCCUAGCUUCCAGCAGUGCUAAUUUACACCGUGUACCAGCUGGAGACAUUCUGGAGUGUAGACUGACGCAAUAAUCCCCAAUGAUAGGUUUGCCAUGUUUUUUUUAAAUGUGUUUUUUCCUACUUUUUAUUAUAGAUGUCAGAAUUUUCUCCUUCCCUGAGUUAUCUUUGGACUUAGAUGUAUAUAAAUGUAUCUGGUUGGAGGUGGGGGGAAAAGUGGAAGUGGAAGACCACAAAAGUAAAAAUUACAUUUGAGUGUAUUUCACCGAUUCUAAGAGGAAUGCUUUCUUCUGCUCCAACCACUCUGAAAUCUCCGGGUCCCAUACUCCCAUCGCAGCUGUGUGACAUGGUUGCCGUGGCCUUUGUGUGAACAUCAAAGCUCAGAGGAUGGGUGUCAGAGGCUUAGAUGAAAAUCCUGAAGACAAUUGUCUGGCACUUUUCAAAGCUAUACGGCCUCACCAAAACCCUCCUGGAAGCUCUUGAUGGCUCGAGGUUCAACAGUGUCUGGGAAGACAUGGAUAUAAAAGAUCCAGAAUCAAAGAGUGAUUCCAAAGAGUUAGAGGCUGACUGUGAAGUCUUAGGCAUACUGUAACCCAGUGAUUUACCUAUCUUUGCUUUUCUGCUCAUGCAGAAGAGUGAUAUAUGAUGAAUAAAUUCUAAGUUCAAUUAGGCCUAAAAGAGCUCUUGUAAUAUGCUUUAAAAAGUCUAAGUGAUAAAACAUUGUGACAGAUAGAGUUCUGUCAGUGUUUAUAUUUUCUUAGUCCUUCAUUAAAUAACAGUGUGUCUUACACCAAGGCAGUUUUGGAUUCCAUAAAAUAUGGUAGUAGUUAUGUUUCAUGUUUCAAUAGUCAUCAAUCUGUUUUUAAUGUAUUCAUGGAAAAAUAUGUGGGCCAUCUUGCUAUUUAACUAUUUUUGAAAUCUCAUGGAAGCCUGCCAAUGUUUUUGCAAUUUAGCUAAGAAGCUGUCUUGCUUUUUGAGAGGGGAAGUUCCAAUAUUGUAAGCCUAGGUUUCUGAAUAUAUUUUUGUUUUUUAAUAAAUGUAGAAAGAAUGUUUUUUGUUAAUCCUGGCAUUUGUCUAGAGCAAAAGCAAAAUAAAUGAAAAGUGAGGAAAAUUAAAAGGCUCACGUUAUAACAUGUGCUGUCUAGAGAAUAAAAACUCAUUUGUGCAAAGUUGGUAUGGCUUUUAUGAAAAUAUUUCAGUCCGAGCACCUUGCCUGUUUGCUGCAGUGCUGACUGACUCAUGAUUAGGGAUCUGUGUUGCCUUUAUUGCUCUCGGUUUGCCCUAUGGCUUGAUUUAUUAAUAUAUUUAAAUAUACAAUUUUAACCUUAUCAUUGGUGUGCAGGUGUAUUUAUUUAUACUAUCUUUGCUUUUAGAAAAACACUAUUAUAUCAUAAAAAUAUUUUAACCUUAAAUUACUUCCCACAGGCUUCAAGUUUUAUGCAGUUCAUAUCUGGGCAUAAAGAGAAAUCAAUAUACUGUGGCCUGCAGGGCACCAGCCUUUGGUGUUUGUCAAACGUUUACAGAUAACUAAUGUCCCACAUAAAAUAGAUCCAUUCUUUCCAUCUUGCACAUCUUGCACCUUUCUUUUUUUUUUUUUUGUAUGACCACUGCCGUGUAGCCAUCAUGUCUGGACUGAUAGUAGUUUCUAGGCUUGGAGGAAACUGCAUUUUCAAGAAAGCAGGAUGCAGACAUCCCCUGAGGAACACCUGCAUUAAACAUAGCCUCCCACCUAAAAAGAGCUCCCUGAGUUGGGAAGUGUCUUAUUGGCCUCUCCUUCCGGCCUCUCCCACUCCCUAUGCUGAAACCAAGAGCUUCGGGGCUCCCCUCCCUGCCCACCCUGGCAGGGAGCCCAGGGCCCUCGUUGCUCUCCCUGUCUCCUAUGCUGUCCGAGAACCCCUGCAGCUCCAGGCCCUGGACCAGCCACAGAGUUUACUUCUACUGUUGCAAUACUUUGAAGGGAGAAGAGUUUCAGCCUUUUUGAUCAGUGGGGCUUCUACUUAAAAUCCUUCCAUGGCACCCCAUUAUCUCAGGGUAACGUCCAGACUCCUAAAGUGGCUUCCAAAGUCCUUCAUUAUCUGAUGGGCCUCUGUGUACUUUCUCUCUCUUCUCUCUCCAUUCCUGGCCCUCCUCAUCAAUUCUCUGGCCAUUUUGAACUUGACUCAGUCUCCCCAAUGUGCCAGGCUUUCCCUGGCUUCCCGGCUCUGCGGGAGGAUGAGAGUGGGCUCAACUGUCUUUUGAGGGAAUCCUGGAAACACACCCACCCUGAGAGUCAUUGUUUUGAUGGAAGUGACAUUCCAAACCAACAUUUGGAACCAAGUCCUGUAAGCCAGAACCUGCACAGGUUUUGUUAAAGGAAUCAAUUUAGGCCUGGCACUGAACUCCUUUCUGCUGUAAGACUCUUUUAGAACUUUGGAAGUUUCUAUGCAGGGGACUGAGCCAUCCUGUCCCUGCCUGGUUGGGCAUGAGAAGUCACUUGGAAUAGGUCUGAGUGAAUGCUGAUGAACUCCGACUUAGCUCUGGUAAACAGUGCAAGUUCCCAUGAGACUGCAGGGCAAGAACAGGGCAGGCUGCACACCGCGGGGAGAGGCACACCUCGUUCCGUCAAGAGACACCUGGGCCUGGUGCAGGCGCAUUCUCCGUGGUUAACGGGUGUGAAAUCGGCAUUUAUCAUCAGUGACUUUUCAUUGUGUGGCUUCUGUGAGUCCCCACCUUCCUUCUAAACCUCAGCAGGACACUUUCCCUUCCCUGUAGUUCAAAUAUGCGCCGCAACCUCAGCUUGAUCUCAAGCUUUCUAUUGCCAUGUAAACAAUCAGGGAGCCCUGGAAUGGUGGGCUCCAGGGGUGGGUGGGUCAGGGCCACCCCCAGGGGUGCAGAGUCUGAAGGGGCUAAACUCCGGGCGGAGGCUGGGGGGCCUCAAAAGCAUUUUCAUGCAGGUGAGAAAAGGAAAAUUUCCAGGGCAUCUUGGCUGAAGCACAGAAGUGACUCCCGGAAGACCUGGCAUGUGUGAGAUGUAGGAGGGAUGCUCUGUGCCUGCUUGUGUGUGUGCAUGAGUGCGUGUGUGUGUAUGUGUGUAUGCGUGUACAUGUGGUGGGUAUGAUGAGCCUCGGGGCUCCCUUUAGCAUCUGCUGGUGAGUUUACUGUGCCUGCCGACCGUUUCCCAGGUCAGGCCUCCGCCCAUGAUAACUACUGUUUACCAAACACUUACUGUAGGUCAGUGACUCACAUAUGUGAUCUCAUUUCACUCUCCCAACAACCCUGACGUAAGGACUAUUAUCCCUAUUUAACACAUGAGGAAAGGGAGGUUUGAGAGCUCUGGUUACUUUUUCACAUUCUGAAGCUAGGUGCCUCCACAGCACAUGAAAUGUUCUGCCGUCGUUCGUCUCCCUGGGACCAUAUGGAAACGGGGGCUGCUUCCCCUGGAGAUCACAAAGGGCUUCUGCAGUAGAGAAAGGAGACUAAGAGCACCUUUCUAGACUUUUCCUUAGCAUUCUUCAAGAUGUACUAUCAGAAGUUCAAUAAAAACAACCUAAUGCUGAGAUUCAUGGAUAGAAAAUUGACUCAACUUCCUGCCUUCCGACGAGCUUAUUUUCUUCUUAGCCAUUGUAAAUUGGUGGAGCCGUGUUCCUCCUUGUCUUAGAAACUUUUAAUGGUGCUGUUGCCCUCAGGUUAAGGUCUGGACUCCUUGUGGCUCUCCAAAUCCCUCAGAGUCCUUCAUUGUCUGAGCAGGCACACUCAUCUUCUGUAGUUUAAAAGGUGGCAGUGGCUGGGCGCAGUGGCUCACGCCUGUAAUCCCAGCACUUUGGGAGGCCGAGGCAGGCAGAUCACCUGAAGUUGGGAGUUUGAGACCAGCCUGACCAACAUGGAGAAACCCCGUCUCUACUAAAAAUACAAAAUUAGCCAGGCGUGGUGGCACAUGCCUGUAACCCCAGCUACCCGGGAGGCUGAGGCAGGAGAAUCGCUUGAACCUGGGAGGCAGAAGUUGGGGUGAGCUGAUAUCGCUCCAUUGCACUCCAGUCUGGGCAACAAGAGCAAAACUCACUCUCAAAAAAAAAAAAAAGAGUGACAGUAAUGACAUGAUCAUUAAACAUCUUUCAGGGAAGACUCUAUGAGACCGAUGUUUGCAUGCUAAAGACAGGUGUUGCUGCCGGAAAGUGAUUCGGUUUGAGGACUCAGGACUUGGGAACAUCAGUCUCAUCUCAACAGAACCCUUUUUUCAGUUCCCUGCUGUUUCCUGCACAAACUGGGGGAAUGUGCUUGGCCUCCCUGGAGCUCGGAUUGUCUAGCAGCUUGGAUUGCUUAGUCCCCCUUUCCACACCUUCCUGCCACCCUGAGGGGGAGGCCUGAUGGUUCAUGGGCUUCCGCAGAAGGAAUUUGCCCACUCUGCUUCCUAAAAUGUGCAGCUGCAUUUUGCUGCUGGGAAAAUAUUGAUUGAAGGUCUGGAGGAGUCUGACAACUUGUAAGGCACAUACAGUUUUUAUCUGCAGGAUGAAGUUAGUUUUUGUUUGGGCCUGGUGUUUUCGAAAGAAGGAAAUCACUUUCAUAAGCAUCAGAUUAGAUCCAGGAAGCGUCCGCAGGACAAUGAGAAGCUGAUAGAGGCAGUGUCUCAGGAUUUUGCCAUUGGUUACUACCGCCACCUCCUGGCUGAAAUUGUGAACUACACAGCAUGGGCUUCCUGGGCAAACUGGUUUAAGAAAAGGUAGCCCCGUUUUCCCCAUUUUCUGCAAGUUCUGUGUGGCGCAAAAAGGAAAUGAGAAGACUUAUUGUUUAGAUAGAGUAUUUAUUGGCAUAUUUUAUAUUAACUGUGAUGAUAAAGCAGACACAAGAAUAAGAAAUAAAAUCAGAGUGAAUUUUUCUCAUCUGAGGCAACAGGGAAAAUAAUUCAUUGGAACAACCCUGUGACUCAGUGUUAGCUUUGCCCAAAAUAAGUGUCAAGGCCCUUAUCUGAGUUUCCAAGACCCCCUGCCCAUUCUCUUAAGCUGACCUCUUAGCAUAUUGAGGGAAAUCUACCAAACAUUUUGGAAAAUUAGUACAAAAUUAAGGAAUUAAAAUGAAAAUUGCAAUAUAAAAAAUUAUUGGGUCUGAGGCAUGUCUUCAGGUUGUACAAGGAAAAGAUGUAAGAUUUGGUAUCUCUCCUCUUCAUUAUUUUAUAUUGGUUUUAUACAUAAGCCCUCACCCUGUAGAAAUAUAAGUUCUAAGUUAGGAAAAGGAUUAUUUGUAACAUACAUGCAAUACACAUACAUUGACAGAAAUAGAAACAGGCUUUUUCUGUUAUUUAAAUAGUAUUUUUGGAGUAGAUUGGUUUUUCGUUUGUUUGUUUUUGAGACAGAGUCUUGCCCUGUCGCCAGGCUGGAGUGCAGUGGCGCGAUCUCUGCUCCUUGCAAUAUUUUCCUCCCGGGUUCAAGUGAUUCUCCUGCCUCUGCCUCCCGAAUAGCUGGGACUACAAGCGUGUGCCACCAUACCCAGCUAAUUUUUGUAUUUUUACUAGAGACAGGGUUUCACCAUGUUGGUCAGGAUGGUCUCUAUCUCCUGACCUCAUGAUCCGCCUGCCUCGGCCUCCCAAAGUGCUGGGAUUACAGGAGUGAGCCACUGUGCCUGGCGGAUUGUAUUUUUAAAAAUUUAUUUAGAGAUGGGGUCUUGCUCUGUCAAGCAGGUUGGAUGGAGUGCAGUGGCGCGAUCAUAACUCACUGCAGCCUUGACUUCCUAAGUCAAGCAACCCUCCUCCCUCAGCCUUUCCAGAGGACAGCAGCUGGGGCCUUCAGACAAUUACGUUUCCUUAGUCGGACAUCUGAGAGGCAUAAUUUCAUGGCUACCACAGAAACUGAGAGCAAAUAUUACAUUUCUCAUCCCCCCUUGAAGCUUGGGUCUUGCUGAAUAUUGUUUUCAUAAAGCAAUCUGCCAUAUUGAAAAAGCCAUGUAAUGAGAAACUGUGUGCAACCUCCAGCCAACAGCUAGGAAAGAACUGAGGCCCUCAGUCUUCUCAGGUGGCCUACUGGCCAAUAUGUACAAGUUGUAUAUACAACUUCCAGAAGGGUCCUUAAAAGAAGAGGGCUAUCACUUUCUUGCCUUCUUUUCUUUCUUGCUGGCUGGAAUGUGAUGAUAUCACUAGAUCUGAAACAGCCAUUUUGGACUAAAAGGCAGAAGCCACAGGUGAGGAUGAUGGAGUUACAAAAUAAAAGAAGUCCAAGUCCUAGUGAACUGGGCCACCAUGAACUUCCCAGGUUUACUGGAGAGAGAAAUAAACCUCUAACUUGUGUAUGUCUCUGCUUGAUUUUCAGUUACUUAUAACAGAACUUUAUCCAAACUGAAAAAAAUUUUACAUUUUAUAUGUAAAGUCCGAAGUUUAACAGAGUUAGUAUUUCCCAGACGAUAAAUCAUGGGAAAAAUAAAAGUUUAAUUACCUAGGACUAUUACUGGGAGAUGAUAUUUGCUGCAUAUAGUGAAGGUGCUAGCAAAUCUCCCCUUUUUGUUGCUAAGAGGGUGUUCCACUUAGUUAGCCAGGGCAACAGAAGGAAACCAUUGAUGUUCCUCACGGAGAAGUCUUUGAAAACAGCACAUGAGACAGCAGCUAAGAGCGCCCCCCACCGCAUUCCAGGCUAAUAGCAUUGGCUCCAGAGGCUAACAGGGUUUAUUGAGUGAAGGGACCAAGGGGGAAACCAGCUUGAUUUUAAUUGUCUGUCUAGUCUGUUGGAAACUAACUUUCUCUAAAUGAAUGCUUUUUGAAGUUUUCAAAGCUCGAGAACAUAAUAAAUAUUACCCUUUGCUGGGUU
rnacentral:lncRNA from 10 species